UUUCUGGUAAUCUCCCAGAGCUCUCUUCCUCCCCACCCCCAACAUCCUCCUUUAUCUACCUGAAUAUGCUAUUUAAGGUGAAAAACCUCUGCCAUUUGUAAAGAAACUCAGUUUCCCUGGUUUCUCCCAUGUAUACAUGUUAUUAAACUGUUUAAUUUUCUCCUACUAUUCUGUCUCAUUUCAAUUUAAUUUGUAGACCAGCCAGAAAGGACCCAGAGUGGGUAGAAGAUGCUCUUCCUCCCCCUUCACUGUUGUGGACUGAAUAUUUAUGUCAUCCAAAAAUUCAUGGGUUAAAAUCAUAACCCCCAAUGUGAUGACAUUGGGAGGUAGGACUUUGGGGACAAAAAUAGGUGGAGACUUAAUGAUUGGGAAUAGUGCUCUUACAAAAGAGAGCUCUCUUGCUCUCUUUCCACCAUGUGAAGGUACAGCUGGAAGACAACCGUCUGGAAACCAGGAAGAGGACUCUCACCAGACUCUGAAUCUGCCAGCCCUUGAUCUUGGACUUCCCAGACUCUAGAACUAUUAUUCAAGAGAAGUGUUUCUGCUUCUUUUUUUAAUCGACAUAAUUUGGAGAAACAAAGUAUUUAAGACGGCUACCACCUUGCCUCUGGUCCUUUACAUGAAGUCAAUUCUUCCAUACAUGUUGCUGUGAAGAAUUGCACAGAGAAUACAACUAUGAGCAAGAAAGGGUUCCCAGGCUCCACUUACAGACUCAGUCUGUUGCUUCACAUUCUCAAAUCUUCAGACUUCGGAUUCCUGAUCCUGGACCCUGGUUUUUCACAUCUGCUCCUAUACAGUAAUGAUGCUGAAGAGCUUGCAUGUGCCAGCAGUUGAAACUCCAUAUAGAGAAGACAGAGGAACCAAUGAGAUUUUACAUCUGAUCUAUGAUUGACAAGAAGUUCAGACACGGAGAGGCUCCCUUAUGGCUAGAGAUUGGAUGUUUCACACCUGGGCUGCGCUGCACAAGCAGAGCUGGGAGUGAUUGUAGACAUGCUCACAAGCAGAGUGAAAGGCAGAGGAGCACGCCGUGAGGAUGCUGGACCAUGCUAGAGCUGGUAUCCCCAAAUGUGAUACCUCUGGCUCAUAGAAUAAAAGGGAGGCCUUACAAGGACAUAACGAAAACUCCAGCACCCCCUCCUCUCCAGUAAGGGGAGAUGAGAAUGGCGGUGAGCCAGAAGCAAGAACUGAUUCCAGUGACUCGUGACCAGUAAAACUGCUCUUAUUAUCAAGGUCAGCAAUGAUAUCCAUAUCGUGAAAUUAAAUAAUCAAUUGCCAUGGAGGGGAUUUUUGUCUGUGUUGUUCAAUGCUAUAUUCCAAGCUGCUAGAGUGAGGCCUCAUAUAUGGACAAUGCACAGCAAACACUUAGUGAAUGAAUAAAUACAUAUAAGGCAGACCUGGGUUUUAAGUCAGAUUUUCCCACCUUCUUGGUGCAUGCCGUUAUGAAUUCCUUAAUUCUCCCUGAGCCUCCAUUUGAUCAUCUUUGAAAUGGGGACAAUAAUAAUGACCUCUCAGGGGUAUUGUAAAAGAGAAAUGAAAUAAUGCAUGUACAUUAGUGACAAAGAGAAAAUGCUUUGUUGUUACAGGUCUAUUUCAAAUGGUGCAUUAUACAUUAUUUGUAGCAAGGAUGAUUAAUAAAGUAGGAGUUUUCUGAGGAUGUUUCAAUGGUUAAAAAGUUUGCUUUGAAGGUAAAACAACAAAUUACCUAAUAGUUUUGUCGGUUUGUUCAUGGUUGGAAUGUCUUGAUGAGGCUGGGACCUCCCAAACAUAACUAUUGAAGAUAUUGAGCAGCCAAGCAUCUCCAAGCCAAGGGAUCCAGGUAUGCCUAUGGUGAGACGGCGUAUUUGUCACUGGGACAGAUGUCCAUUAGAAACUGGAUCAAAGCCAUGGACUCAUCUGUCAUAGUUCCCAAAGGAGCCUUCACUGAUAAUGAGUUCUGGGCUAUUGAGGCCAAGAAAAUGAGGGACUCAGACCACUCCCUGCCCAUUGGUCCUGCUCAGCAGAAUGCAAAUCAAGACGCCUCCUAAUCUAAGCAGAGCCUGAUCACCUAGAGAACACCAGAAGCCACCAGAAGCUAAAAGAGGCAAGGAAAACAUUCUCCCUUAGAGCCUCCAGAGCGAGCACGGCAUUGACAACACCUUGAUUUCCAUUCGAGGAAACUGAUUUCAAACUUCUGGCAUCCAGAACUGUGACAAAAUAAAUUUCUCUUAUUUUAAGUUAUCAAAUUUGUGGCAAUUUGUUACAGGAAACUAAUACAUACUCUAUGCAAGAGGAGAACACAUGGUUAUUUAUGCCACAAAAAUAUUGCUCUCUACCUCAUAGGAUUAUGGCAGGAUUAAAUGAGAUCAUUCAUGUAAAGAAUUUAGGAAGGUAAGAAUUCAAUUUGCAGGUAAUUUGUUAAAUAUAAAUAAACUAAAGUUUGAAAGCGAUUUAAAUAUAGGUAAGAGUGGCUCAUCAUACACUUAACCUGCAUUCUGAUGUAUUUUUUGUAUAUAAGAGGAAACAAUGGCAUUACAGUACUCUGUAAUUGGCCAAUGCCCAUGAGCGCUUGUAACAUAUGUGCAUGCCAUCAGUAAUGGGUGACAGGAGGGGGGAGAAAAAGCUAUGAGAGUUGCUGAUCUAAAUGGAAUAUAUGCAAAUCAGUACAAAGUAAGUAAACCAGUGACUGCGAAAAUGUUUUAUGAGUUUUAGAGUGUUACAUUUCCUCCAUCUCCUUUUUCCUCUUCUUCUUUUAAGAAACAUAUUAUUAGUAACUCUACGAAGAUAUAGGCAGCUUGGAAAGAUGGGAGAAAUGUACAGGUAUUGCUGGAAGGGAGACUGAAAGGUUAAAAUUCCCUUCAGUCAUC